GCCCUCAAACCCAACAAAGAAUAGCCCAAAAAUGACCUCAAAAUCCACCCUAAAAGUGCAGCAAAAACAAUUGCGAACAGGUGCCAAAACGACCUCGAAUCUGUCCAAAAACCAGCACCAAACUACUCAAAAAUAGUCCCGAAAAAUCAGAUCUAGGACACCUCGAAAUCCAGCUCUGUUCUACCAUGAAAACGCUGCCAAAAGCUUCACAAAAAAAUGACAUAAACACUGCCCCAAAAUCACUCCAAAAACGUAGCUAGAACAGCCCUGAAACUAAGCUCAAAGCUUACCCCAAAUCAGCCCCCCAAAACAGUUGUGUUACUGCUGGAAAAUCGGUCACAAAACAGCCUUGUAAUACCUCCAUUAGAUCAUCAAAAUAUCCUCAAACUCCUAGUCCAAAACAACCCCGAACAGUCCUAAAUAAUCAGUUAUUUUGCCAUUUUCGAUUGGGAUUUUGGAGCUCGGUUGUGGAGCGAUUUUGGAGUAAUUCUUUACGACUUCGACUUGGAUUUGAGCUGUACGGAUGUCAAUUCAAGCAAGAAGGCCAUUUUGAAAUAUCAGCCUAACUUCAAAAGGAGCCAUACAUUGGAGAUAUCGGAUUCGGACAAAGAUAAGAGUAUGAUCACACGGAUUCAAG